GACGAACGCUGGCGGCGUGCUUAACACAUGCAAGUCGAACGCGCCUGUCCUCUGGGUUUCUGGGGGGUGGGUGAGUGGCGAACGUGUGAGUAACACGUGAGUAACCUGCCCCCUUCUUCGGGAUAACGGUCUGAAAGGGCUGCUAAUACCGGGUAUUCACUGGUCUCCGCAUGGGGUCUGGUGGAAAGGUUUUUUUCUGGUGGGGGAUGGGCUCGCGGCCUAUCAGCUUGUUGGUGGGGUGAUGGCCCACCAAGGCUUUGACGGGUAGCCGGCCUGAGAGGGUGACCGGUAACAUUGGGACUGAGAUACGGCCCAGACUCCUACGGGAGGCAGCAGUGGGGAAUAUUGCACAAUGGGCGCAAGCCUGAUGCAGCGACGCCGCGUGAGGGAUGGAGGCCUUCGGGUUGUGAACCUCUUUCGCCCGUGGUCAAGCCGCGACGUGGGUCGUGGUGAGGGUAGUGGGUAAAGAAGCGCCGGCUAACUACGUG
rnacentral:rRNA from 1 species